rnacentral:misc_RNA from 1 species
UUUAUAAGUUGAGAGAUGCAUUUAUAAAUAAAAUUUUUGUUAAUUAAUAAUGACAUUAAUUAACAAAAAUAGAAUUUCUACAAUACCAAGUAAUUAGCUGUAAAUUCCGUGAAGAGAUAGAGAAGAGUUGAAGGAAAGCAGCCUCAUACACACGUAUAUGAGCAUCAAAGUAAAGAUCAUUCGUGUCGGUUGGGCUUUGGUUUGAUCUGAAGUAGCGGCCAGGCAGAUAACUAAGGUGAACAAGAAAGAUAGUGAGAAAUUUAAAUCAACAACUUUAAACUCAUGCCUCUCUUUCAAUCUUUGAAGGGGAUAUUGUUCAGGAUCAUCCUCAGCAACAAGAAACUGAGUAAAGAACAACCCUUGCUUCAUGGCCUGACGAUAAUCCAACACCGGUAAUGACAUUCUUUUGCUAUCAUCAUCAACAUUAUCAUGUUCCAAGUUAUGAUCAAACAUUAGAUGGACUCCACACUUGUGGACUUC